UCCCAACGCCGGCACCGCCGUACACUCACCAAUAGCUACACUCAAGAAACAGUCCGAGGGGCGAAGACUCGCCGGUUGACCGCUUAAGGUGUAGAGAAAGUAUGGCCGGCAAUUAAAUAAAAGCCGACCCAAAAAAAACGGAAGSGCCCUUUGGSUYGCGCAAGCAUUCACUCGCGGCUUGCUWCAACGACAGACAGGAGGGAGGAGAAUAAGUUCACSUAUCCCGCAUGCAUCAACCUAAKAAGKMACCACCAAGSCCAAAGCAAGCCUUUAGACAAAAGGUAGCAACUUCSAGGGCUUACAAAACGCCUACGACACGUACGAGUCCAAGAACCCCUGCCGAAGGAUUCCUAGCAUGCUAAGCCAAAACAGGCGUGAAGUACUCUCUGCGGACGUACUCAGCACCGCGAGGAAAACCUCCUCACGCACCGGAAAACACACCCACGGAUGCUCCUGCACGAUGGACCAACUAGGACGGUCAUCAG
rnacentral:misc_RNA from 1 species